ACUGGUAAGGAGGGAGUACGCAGGAGAGGUCACCGGGGCCGCUUUAGCGUGGUGCCGCGCGGGUUCUGUCGCUUUUGCUUCACCGUUGGCCUAGCUGCGGAUGGACACUGAGGGAAUGGAAUUCCUACUGGAUGUGGUCGACAGGUUCCCAGUGCGGGAGGAGUAUGCAGAUAAUGUUGACCAUCCGGAUCCAGUCUUGCUCAUGUACCUUUUGGAUAAGGGGGCUGCGAGUCCGGAGAUUGGUCAGGCAGACGUUGAUUCUGGGGUAGCUGAGAUGGUGUGCGGAGGUGUGCUAACUGACGCUGAAGUAGGUGCCCCCCGUAGACGUGAUGAAUCUCCGACGAGGUCUGCCCAAUCAUCGGGCAGAGUCAAUCCACAGGCCCCGACUGGACUAAGAGGGGAAACCAGACGCUGAAAACAGCAGGUCCUGCAGGUGCAAGUGCCCAGCUCUGAUCAGGCUGCUAUGUGCAUCAGACAACAGUUGGUACAUAACAGAGCACCAGGCGAGCCACAAUCAUUCGAUGUCGCUUACAAUGGGAGAGAAAGUGCAUUGGCCGUCUCAUAAACACAUAGACGUGUAUACCAAGGAUUUGAUAAGAUAGUUGAGGGAGAACUACAUCAACCUUGGCAAGGUAUACAACAUAAUUGGAAUCUUCUUUGGUUCAGUUGAGAAGGUGCCCUUCACGAAAAGGACACUCAGGAACAUUUGUGGGAAGAUUAGUCGUGAACAGGCUGAAGAUGAAUUACGGAAGACACUGCAGGUGUUUGCCGACAUCUGGUCGAGUGACCCUGGUUUCUCCUAUGUGGUGCUCGCCGAGAAAGACAGCAAGGUGAAGAAUCUCAUGUGGGCUAAUGGGAGCAGACGGAUGCAGUACAGGUUCUUUGGCGACGUGGUCACAUUCGACACCACAUACAGGACAAAUUUGUACGACAUGCCAUUAUGUUUAUUUGUCGGAGUUAACAAUCACUACCAGAGUAUCAUCCUGGCUGGCGUGCUGAUGCGUGACGAGCAAGAAGAGAGCUUUGAAUGGGUGUUUUCAGAAUUCAUUCGCAUGAUGAGCGGACCUGCACCUAAAACAAUACUAACAGGGCUAUGGAGGUUGCAAUCAAGAAAAUUUAUCCGAACACUGUCCACCGUUUGUGCAAGUGGCAUGUUCUGAAAAAGGCGAAAGAAACACUAGGGUGGCUUUACACAAAAAAAUGUGAUUUUCAAGCUGAAUUUCACAAAGUUGUUAACCACAUGCUAACUGAGGAAGAAUUUGAAUCAGCCUGGGAUGCGCUGCUUGAUAAAUACAAUUUGAGGGGGCAUAACUAUAUGACCCAACUAUAUGAGACAAGACAUAAAUGGGCGAAACCAUAUUUCAGAGGUGUGUUUUGUGCGAAAAUGACGAGUACACAGAGGAGUGAGAGUGCAAACCACAUGCUGAAAACGGACAUGCCCCCUGCAAGCCCAAUGCAUGUUUUCGUCUGACAAUACAUGAGACUUCAAUUUGACCGGAAGCGCGAUGAAAGCUAUGAGGAAAAGAGGACAAUGAUUGGCGGCGUCGUGCGGCGGACUAACCUUGCGAUAGAGCGCCAUGCCAGCAAAAUAUAUACUAGGAAUAUGUUUGAGAAAUUUGGCCGCCUACUGGUAGAAGGAACCGCAGAGUUGUGCUGUCCUUAUUUGAAACGACGCAGAGUUGUGUCGUUGAGCACAUGUAAGGUUAUAUGCUUUUCUGAACAAUUUGUUAGCUAAACUGAAUUUUACUCCUAGCUGUAUGAUAUGACUGUAUA